rnacentral:misc_RNA from 1 species
AAGUCGUAACAAGGUUUCCGUAGGUGAACCUGCGGAAGGAUCAUUAGUGAAUUUUAGGGCGUCUACUUGUAGAGCCUGACCUCCACUCUAACACUGUGCAUUUAUUGGCGAAAUUUUUAGUUGAUAAGGAAUUUUCGGAUUUCGGAUCACUAAACUUUUUGCGGCUCAUUUUAUAACACCAGUCAAAGUAUGUAACGAAAUAUCGAAACAAAAAAAACUUUCAACAACGGAUCUCCUGGCUCUC